CUACCAUGCAGUCGAGCGGAGAACUUAUUAUGAAAUCUUCGGAUAGAUUAAUAAACUUCUUAGCGGCGGAUGGGUGAGUAACGCGUGAGGAACCUGCCUAGUACAAGGGGAUAGCCUCGGGAAACCGGGAUUAAUACCCUAUGAUACUUAAGGGCCACAUGGCUUUUAAGUCAAAGAUUUAUCGGUAUUAGAUGGACUCGCGUCCCAUUAGCUAGUUGGUGAGAUAACGGCUCACCAAGGCAACGAUGGGUAGCCGGCUUGAGAGAGUGAACGGCCACACUGGAACUGAGACACGGUCCAGACUCCUACGGGAGGCAGCAGUGGGGAAUCUUGCACAAUGGAGGGAACUCUGAUGCAGCGACGUCGCGUGAACGAUGAAGGCUUUCGAGUCGUAAAGUUCUGUCCUAUGGGACGAUAAUGACGGUACCAUAGGAGGAAGCCCCGGCUAACUACGUGCCAGCAGCCGCGGUAAUACGUAGGGGGCGAACGUUGUCCGGAUUUAUUGGGCGUAAAGGGUACGCAGGCGGCCAAAUAAGUCAGAUGUGAAAUCCUAGGGCUUAACCCUAGUUAGCAUUUGAAACUGUAUGGCUUGAGUUAAGGAGAGGAAAGUGGAAUUCCUGGUGUAGCGGUGAAAUGCGUAGAUAUCAGGAGGAAUACCAGUGGCGAAGGCGACUUUCUGGACUUAUACUGACGCUGAGGUACGAAAGCGUGGGGAGCAAACAGGAUUAGAUACCCUGGU
rnacentral:rRNA from 1 species